rnacentral:lncRNA from 1 species
CCACACAUAGCCCGUCACAGAUGAUCCGGCGUCCCUGAUGAGAGCACUUGCUAGGUUGUGUGUGUGUUUAAAAACCUCUAGUAUUCUAAUCCUCUGCGUUUGCAUAUAGUAGCCCAAAGGAACCUGCCCCUCUUCCCUCUCUCUUACGCUUGUGUUUUGUUUGUGCUACUAGCUAGCUAGCAGCUCGGCUCAUCGCGGGACAUGAAGAAGGAUGAAGAGGAUGCCAAUGCCACAAUCCCCUUCAAGCCCCCGCCAUCCCCUCUCCACCAUGGCUGGUCGCUCCGUAUGCCGCGGACGCCGCUCCGGUGACCUCUUCGUCCCGGUCUUCGUCUUCGUCUCUGUCGUCGUCUCGGUUCUUCCGCAGGGCAAAGGCAUGGAGGCAUCCGUGCAAGCUUAGCUCAGAAAAAUGGUGGAGAGUUCUGUAUUGGCAUGCGGGAAAGCCAGGCAAUUUUUUUCCCUCAGUUCCGACUUGUUUCCGCUUUCCUCUCCUUGCUAAUUGCUGUCCUUGUUCUUGCUGCGAUAGGUCGCUUCGUUCGACCUUCAGACUAUUUGUAUCUCGUUUAGUUGCGAAUUUUAAGGCCAUCCGAUCCAUCGAUGUUAUAUAUCAUCAAGAUCGAUAUGGCCAUUCAGAUUCUAUAUAAUUAUGUGUAACUAAAUUCAUCCUUUAGCAUGCAUGAGGAUUAACUAGGUGAGUGUUUAUAUGCUACAGCCAGUGCUUGCAACUCUAAUCCUUUGCAUUUGCAUUUGAGAUUUAGUCUUCCUGAGCUAUAUAAUAUUGGAACGCAAUGCAGAUAGAUACAUCAUCUGUACUACUGGUUUGUCCAUCUCAUUUGAUCUCAAUUAAAUUGUGAGUAAUCAUAGAGGAUCUGCAGGGCAGUCGAUCAUGAAUAGAUUUGCUUUACAGUGCAAACUGGAGAUGUUCGUCCUUG